rnacentral:lncRNA from 1 species
GCAGAGGCGCGGAAGGAGUCAUGGGGCGCGUACGCCAGGGAAGAAUACAAGGUGUGGAUUAAUGAGUACGAUCACUCCAAGCCCAUCCAGGGGCAGCAGAAGAAGCCCUUUGAGGAGCACUGGAGGAAGCACACCCUGUCCUAUGUGGACGUCAGCACUGGGAAGUGCACAGCCAGAGAACAACACAUCACACACAGGAAACAGUUGUGCUCAUGUGAUGGGGGCCUCAGCACUAGGAAGGAGUGGACUAUUGGCGCAUGUAGCAGCUUGAAUAAAUCUGAAAGUCACUACACUGCGUAAGAGAAGCCAAAUAAAAAAGUUCAUGCUGUGUACAGAGGGUGUUGAGAAUGCCUCCUACGUGACGGAAAGCAGAUCCGUGGUUCCCUGCAGACCGGCAGGAGCAGAUUCCAAAGGCACAGGAAGAAGCUUGCAGCUUCUCAGAUGACCAAGAUGGUGCUGCCGAUGGUGUUGAGGACGGAGAACCCACCAAGCC